rnacentral:rRNA from 1 species
UACGUAGGUGGCAAGCGUUGUUCGGAAUUACUGGGCGUAAAGGGCGCGUAGGCGGCCUUCUAAGUCAGACGUGAAAUCCCCCGGCUUAACCUGGGAACUGCGUCUGAUACUGGGAGGCUUGAGUAUGGGAGAGGGAUGUAGAAUUCCAGGUGUAGCGGUGAAAUGCGUAGAUAUCUGGAGGAAUACCGGGGGCGAAGGCGGCAUCCUGGACCAUUACUGACGCUGAGGCGCGAAAGCUAGGGGAGCAAACGGG